GGUUGAUCCUGCCAGUAGUCAUAUGCUUGUUUAUCAGAUUAAGCCAUGCACGUGUCAGUAUAAGUUUUUAUACAACGAAACUGCGAAUCGCUCAUUAAAACAAUUAUAGUUUAUGUGAAAAUACUUACUACACGGAUACCUGUGGUAAUUCUGGAGCUAAUACGUGACUCAACACCCAUCUGGGUGUCGCUUAUUAGAUUAAAACCAUCUUAUGCUUGCAUAACUGAUAGGUGAUCCAUAAUAACUUUGUGAAUCGCAUGGUAUACCCGGCGAUAGUUCACUUAAGUUUUUG
rnacentral:rRNA from 1 species